UUCAAUUUUCUAUUUUUGCAAGCACUAUUACUCUAUAAGAACUAGUGAGCUGACAACUGCUGUUGGAAUAUGUAGGAGAACACAGCUCGACAUGCAAGAUUGUCGUCAAUGGGUUAAGAGCAGGAUGGAAAACAGAAGAGCCAAACCUUGUGAAUUUUCUCAAACAGCUCCACCUCACAAACCCUCUGAUUCAGUUUCAAACGCUACUUUUUCUAGUAAAUAAUACGGUGAUAUUUUGAUGCAUUUCCUUCUUUGAGGUGCUAAAAGUAUCUCCAUUAAUUGGUUCUAUCUUUUGGAUUUAAGAAACUCACCAUAUAUGUUUGCAUAUUUAUGCCACUUAUCACUAUCAUGAUUAGGGCAUCUCGAUAUUACUGUCACAGUCGUUACAAAACACUAUCCUUCGUUUUUUAUCUUCUUUUAGCUCAAUUAAUUGUUGGUUAGCGAAUGCAUUCUUUGUUAUUUAGAUUUGCUACUAGAAUAUUCAUGACUUCUGCAAUUUGUUUUUGCUCGAUUUCCUUUUUAAUUAUUAAAAUUUUCUCACAUUGUGUAGGUUCUCCCCGUAAUCCUCAGACUCUAUCUUUCCAAAUUUGCUUGAAACAAUUGUCGGCAUGUGAUGGGGCAGUUUAGGAUUAUUCCAGUUCAGGAAAACACCUCUUCAGGAGUUUUGGAGAAAUCACAUCGAAUAACCAAGUUUUGAAGCUUUCACGUUAAUAAUCUGUUAAACUAAUGAAUGGAGGGCUUCAAACAAAGCCAACAAUUGUUUCGGGUUUACCUAUUUAUUUUAAAUGUAUAAUACAGAAUACUCAGAUAAAUAUAAUAUAUCAUAAAGCUGAUUUUGUCUUUGCCUUUCUUACAUUUAUUUUCGGCGAGUUCAUGUCAGAUCUAUCUUUUUAUUUCUUACUCAGCAGAAUAUUGUUGGGGAUGGGGGUUAAUGGGCUUAGCUUGAAUUCGGUGCAGAUUUAUUUUAAUCGUCCUCUUGUAUUAGAUUUUCCUUCUUAUUCCACGUCGCGAAUAUCUUUGUCAUAUCCCGGCUUGGUAUAAGUUAUUCCAAGGAUAUCCCCUUGUAUCCCGCCCGGUUCAGAAUUGUGACUGCCCGGUUCAGAUUUUUUAUGCUUCUGGACCGGAAUACCUGUCAUACUUAUUCCACGAAGGGAUAUCCUAUUCCAGGGAUAUCCCGCUUUUAGGAUAUCCCUGUAAGGGAUAUCCCGCUUGGGGUAUAUCCCAUUCGAAUUAUAUCCGGCGUUGGUUUAGGGUUUUUUGGGCUAUUAUUAAAGUUCAAACACAUAAAACCAUCAUGACUAAAAAGAUAGGCCCAAAAACGAAACAGGCCCUAAGCAAAACAAAAGCAUGGAAAAACAGGCCUAAUUAAUUUAUUUUUGUAAAAUUAUUUGAAACAAAGAGUAAUACGAUUCAAAUAAAAGCUUUUACUCUUGGGGUGGCCCAUCCUCAGGAAUCAAAGUGUUUGACUUAGAAUUUCCAAAAUCCAGUGAAGCGUAUCGGCAACCUGUACCCUUUCCGCUUCGUUUUGGGCGACUAGCAUCAGCAUAGUGUAAGAAUGGAGUCGGGGGCGAAGGAGGACGGGAAAUGUGUGAACUUUAGGUAUUAUGGGGGAUGGGCAACACCUAAUAUAUACUUCUUGGGGUUUGCUGGGUUUGUGAAGUUUGGCAAUAUCCGUAUCGGUGGACUUUCCGGAAUUUACAAUGCGCAUAAUUAUUGUUUAGGUUGGGUUUGAAGUUCUUUUACUUGUCUAUUUUGUGUUUAUUCUAGAGUUCUUUUAAUGGUAAUUGUUUAUUUACUGCAAGUGAGUGUAAAAUAUGUUAUAUUGAUUCUUAUUUAGGGUGGAGAGUUGAAGCUUUGAAACUGAAAUGAAUUAGCUUUUUCCUUGAGCAGGAGACCAUGAAAGGUCACCUUAUAAUGAGAAUACUAUCAGGUCUGUGUAUCAUGUUCGGGAGUAUGAUGCUUACAAGCUCAUGCACCUAGAGGAACUGAUUGAUAUUUUCCUUUCACACGAUUGGCCGUUCGGCAUUGCUGAUUAUGCGAACUGCAACAACUUGUUCGCUACAAAAAAACAUUUCAAAGAUGAGGUAAUUAUAUUCGAUUGGUGGAAAUAAGUGUAAGAAUGAAAAUCUUCAUAUCAAGCGUAUUCAGCUUUCUUGUUGACCAUUCCUGGUUGCUUGUUGGUUGAAACAUAUUUCCUAGAUCCAGCAAGGAACUCUUGGAUGCAAGCCUGCUGCUCAGCUGCUCGAAAAACUCAAACCAUCCUACUGUUUUUCAGCUCAGUUGCACUGCAAAUUCACCGCUGUUGUUGAACAUGAAGAGGGUGGUCGAGUGACAAAAUUUCUUACACUCGAUAAUUGCCUUCCAGGGCACAAGUUCUUGCAGGUAUCUAUCAUAAGUUCUGACCAUUUCAUUUAUGUUCUUUCUUUUGGUCUUUGCUGAAAGCUAAUUAAUGAAUUCUGGCUUUCUCUGAUCUUUUAGACUAUCGUUGAUAUUUAAUCUGAUCCAGGACCUUAUGAGGUUCAAUACCAUGAAGAUUGGCUGGCAAUAACACAGAAAUCGAACCGUCGUUCCUUUGACCUUCCGACGUGGAGACUUUGGGUGUGUGUAUAUAUGACUUUUUUGUUUUGACCAUGCCACUCAUCUCGCUCUCUCUCUCUCUCUCUCUUGGGUGGGGUGGGCUAACAUUUUAUUUGAAAAUGUGCAAUUUUCUAUUUUUGCAAGUACUAUUACUCUACAAGAACUAGUGAGCCGACAACUGCUGUUCUAAUAUGUAGGAGAACACAGCUUGACAUGCAAGAUUGUCGUCAAUGGGUUAAGAGCAGGAUGGAAGACAGAGGAGCCAAACCUUGUGAAUUUUCUCAAACAGCUCCACCUCACAAACCCUCUGAUUCAGUUUCAAACGCUACUUUUUCUGGUAAAUAAUAUGGUGAUAGUUUGAUGCUUUUCCUUCUUUGAGGUGCUAAAAGUAUCUCCAUUAAUGGUUCUAUCUUUUGGAUUUAAGAAACUCACCAUAUAUGUUUGCAUAUUUAUGCCACUUAUCACUAUCAUGAUUAGGCAUCUCGAUAUUACUGUCACAGUCGUUACAAAACACUAUCCUUCAUUAUUUUAUCUUCUUUUAGCUCAAUUAAUUGUUGGUUAGCGAAUGCAUUCUUUUUUAUUUAGAUUUGCUACUAGAAUAAUUGAUAUAGGUAUUCAAUUAAUUGUUGGUGAUGGUCCUCUGACUCUUUUUUUCACUCCAAACUAUCAAACUGGAUGAAUUCUAAUGUUUGUUAGUCAGUUGUUUCAACUCAGUUUUGCCCUUUGAUUUUUAUUUGAUCAAUAGGGACUAUGCCUAACAAGAAAUCCGGAGGAACCUUCACAUAUUGUAUCCAUGUUCGACUACU
rnacentral:lncRNA from 1 species